CCCGGUUCUCUUAACUGAGUGCCGNNUGCGACCCGAACGNNUACUUUGAAAANAUUGGAGUGUUCAAAGCAGGCGCGACAGCCUGAACAGCAGAGCAUGGAAUAAUGGAAUAGGACCUCGGUUCUAUUGCGUUGGUUUUCGGAGUCCGAGGUAAUGAUUGAGAGGGACUGAGCGGNGCAUUCGUAUUGCGGUGUGAGAGGUGAAAUUCUUGGAUCGCCGCAAGACGACCGACAGCGAAAGCAUUUGCCAAGAAUGUCUUCAUUAAUCAAGAACGAAAGUUAGAGGUUCGAAGGCGAUCAGAUACCGCCCUAGUUCUAACCAUAAACUAUGCCGANNGGCGAUUCGCCNGCGUUACUCCAAUGACNCGGCNAGCAGCUUCUGGGAAACCA
rnacentral:rRNA from 1 species